AGCAAACCCUAGCACUCACCUAGGAACUGCAGUCCUUAUGUCACAGACUGUCUUUCAAGUUUAUUUAGAGCACCAGAACACUUUAGCCCGUGGGUGAAAAGGCUUGCCAGAACUCAAGUUCUAACAUCUGGCAUGGAUGAUUCCCUUCUAGUUAGGGCUGAUUUAAAUACUCCCUUCAUUGCGGUAUGGGGUGACAGGGCUGCUGCUGGGGGAUGGGGAAGAGAUGGCAUUGGUGAUUCAAGACUCUUUGCUAUCCUCUUCAAUGCCUCUUUCAGUGUAGGAAGUUAAAAUCAGUUAUGUAAUGGAAUUGAAUGAAGCAAGUGUCAGAUCUACAUCUCUACAAACACUCACUUUAUCAGUUCAGAGAAUAAAGAGAUGAAUUUAAUAAUGCCACUGGACACUUAUACUCUAUCGGAUCCUAAUAAUUUCUCACACUAAUGAAUUCUUCUAUCAACUUCAUGUUAAUCAAGAGGAGACAGAGCCAAGAAGUGAGUAAUUGCUUACUGAAUUGUGAAAGCUGGGAUGAUUUAACUACAGCUGCCAUUUUCAACUGCCCUGAGAAUACCAUGUCAGAAGCCAGUCAAGAGUACUGGAUGAUGGAAAUCUACAUGGAGGAGAAUGAAAGUGUCUCAACCAAAAUCAGCACUGACUGAAAAGUAAGGCCAUCUAGGAUGUUCCAGCCCCAGCUAAACUUCACCUGAAUGCAUGAGUGUACCCAGGAGAAAUGUCAGAAGAACCACCAAGUAACCUACAGACAAAUAAAAAAUAAUCAAGUGCCAUUUUUUUUUUGUAAGCAACUGAGCUUUGGAGAUGUUUGUUAUGCAGCAAUAGUUAGUCUAACAUGACUGUCAUUCUAAAAAUCAAUGCUAAUCAUUGCAAAUGUUAAUACCAAUAAUUAAUACAAAUGACAGCUUUCUGACAAGAGUCGAGUAUAUCUCCAAAACCUAAGUUUCUUAAUGUUGAAUUAGAGUUCUUAAUGAAUAAACAUAUAGUCUUCUAAGUUAGUAAAUGUACUUCAAAUAGAAAUCCGUUUUUUGAAACUAACUAUAUUGCUGUUGUGAAUUAAAUUGUGUCCCCAAGAAUUCAUGUUGAAGCCCUAACCCCAUUGAUACUGUAUUUGGGGAUAGGGGACUUUAGGAAGGGAAUUAAGGUUAAAUGAGAUUAUGUGGGUGGAGUUUUAAUCUGAUAAUUCUGGUGACCAUCAUAAGAAGAGGAAGAGGCACCAGCAAUCUCUCUUUCUUCACAAGUACACAGAGAAGAGGCCAUGUGAGGACACAGUGGGGAAGUAAAUAUCUGCAAAUUAAGAAGGGAAGCCUCACCAGAAGCCAGCCCUGACAGGCCAUGGAUCUUAGAGUUACAGCUUUCAGAACUGUGAGAAAAUAAAUUUCUGUUAUUAAAGCCACCCAGUUUGUGGUAUUUUGUCAUGGUAGCCCUAGAAGAUGAAUGCAAUCACUUAUUUACUUUACUUUACAUUUGGAUUUUCAUUUACUCCUGGAGAAUUAAAUAGUCAUGAAGAAGGACUGAGAUAAAAUGUUCUGCUACUAUUGUAGUUUUCUUCUGCUGCUUUGUAUUUCCUGCCAAUUUCCCCCAUAUAUUUGAUGAUAAGUUACGGAGGGCAUAAGAGUUCUUUAGUACACUCUUCUAAUUCUGAUUAUAUACCCAUUGUGACAAAAUAGCACUUUCAGUAAAUGCCUUUGGCUUUGAUUUUGAUUGCAUUCAUGUUUGUAAGGAAAAAAAAAAUCACACCUAAACCAAAUUACACUUGACCCUCCCCACCAAAUUGUCCAUAUAUUCUAUACACAUCAUUUUACUUUGUGUAUUAAACAAACACGGUAAUUCUUAUGCACACUGAAGUUUGAUAAACACUAAUCUGAGAAAGAAACAAACUAAAUGUCUCUUCACAGAUGUUCAAGUAAUCAAACCAUUCUGCAUUUAGACUAACCCUCAAAUCAUGAAGGAGUGCAAGGAUGAGUGAAGAAUUUCAAAAUGUUUCUGUCUGCCUGCAAUGUUAAUUCCAUACUGUUUCAGUUUUAAUCCUGUAUUAGUUUUUAAAAUAUCAGUAGUUUGUAUAGUGAGUUAUUGAAGUGCCUACAAUGAGAGAAUAGAUUCUAAAAACAUCUCCUGAGUUAAGACACAACUGCAUCAAGUUGUGAUUCCUACGUUCUUUUGUUAGCUUUUCCUUAUUGUAUUUUUGUCCAACAUGUUUUAGAGCUUUACUGAUUCAUAUAAAUUAAAUGGUCUACCUUUUACUCUGUUGCUGUCUUAGAGCUGCUAGCCUGUUCUUAAUUGCUUACUCUGCAAAUCCCCAUUGAUUUCAAGAGUGUCCUAGAAACUUGAGUCAACAUAGACUUGAACUUUCCCACACUGUACUCUCAAUAAAGUCAG
rnacentral:lncRNA from 1 species